GAGGGCAUAUAGCCCUCGCUUUUCUGUACCGUAAGGUGGUACAGGAACAAGUGCUGGGCAAGACCGGUGCCAGCCGCCGCGGUAAUACCGGCAGCACGAGUGAUGGCCGAUCUUUAUUGGGCCUAAAGCGUCCGUAGCUUGCUGUGUAAGUCCGUUGGGAAAUCGACGAGCUCAACUGGCCGGCGUCCAGCGGAAACUACUCGGCUUGGGACCGAGAGACUUGACGGGUACGUCCGGGGUAGGAGUGAAAUCCUGUAAUCCUGGACGGACCACCAAUGGCGAAAGCACGUCAAGAGACCGGAUCCGACAGUGAGGGACGAAAGCCAGGGUCUCGAACCGGAUUAGAUACCCGGGUAGUCCUGGCUGUAAACGAUGCUCGCUAGGUAUGUCACGCACCAUGAGCGCAUGAUGUGCCGAAGUGAAGACGAGAAGCAAGCCGCCUGGGAAGUACGUCUGCAAGGAUGAAACUUAAAGGAAUUGGCGGGGGAGCACCACAACCGGAGGAGCCUGCGGUUUAAUUGGACUCAACGCCGGACAUCUCACCGGUCCCGACAGUAGUAACGACGGUCAGGUUGACGACCUUACCCGAGCUACUGAGAGGAGGUGCAUGGCCGCCGUCAGCUCGUACCGUGAGGCGUCCUGUUAAGUCAGGCAACGAGCGAGACCCGCAUCUGUAGUUGCCAGCGAUACCCUUGAGGUAGUCGGGUACACUACGGAGACUGCCGCUGCUAAAGCGGAGGAAGGAACGGGCAACGGUAGGUCAGUAUGCCCCGAAUGGACCGGGCAACACGCGGGCUACAAUGGCCAUGACAGUGGGAUGCUACACCGAGAGGUGGAGCUAAUCUCCAAACGUCGUCGUAGUUCGGAUUGCGGACUGAAACUCGUCCGCAUGAAGCUGGAUUCGGUAGUAAUCGCGUGUCAGAAGCGCGCGGUGAAUACGUCCCUGCUCCUUGCACACACCGCCCGUCAAAGCACCCGAGUGGGGUCCGGAUGAGGCCAGCAUGCGCUGGUCGA
rnacentral:rRNA from 1 species